UAGUACCGGUUCGUGGUACGAACCGGCACUAAAUGGUGAUGGUGGGGCCACAGGCUGACCACAGGCUGACACAGCCUCUUUAGUACCGGUUCGUGGCAUGAACGGUACUAAAGGUUCGCCAUGAACCGGUACUAUUGAUCGCCGCCACGAACCGGCACUAAUGUACACAUUAGUGCCGGCUCUAAUUCAAACCGGCACUAAUGUGCUUCACAUUUGACCCUUUUUCUACUAGUGUUGCCAGGUGUUAAUCAAACAUCAACGAUGCAGACUGCGUCUGUCAUUCCACAAAACACAAUGAAUAAUGGCUUGGCGCAAGGCACUUCACAAGAUGUUUAUGAUGCACAAAGGCAAAUGGCAGGCAGGCAGCAACAACAAUAAUCUCAGCAAUUAAUUUAUCACCAGCAUCAACAGCCUUCUCUGCAGAGUCAGCAGCCCAAUAUUCCUUUACAACAGCAGCAACAACAGUUGAUGGGACAACAGCCAAAUUUACAACAAAAUCAGCUAAUGGGUCAAUAGAAUGGUGCUGUGAUGAUGCGGCAGCAACAGAGGCUAGCAGUUCAGUCAAAUAAUCUUUUGAAUGUGCAGCAAACACAUCAGAUGUUGAGCCAGCAGUAUUUGCCUUUGUAUCAGCCACAACAAUUGGGCUCUCAGGCAAACAUGUCGAGUCUACAGCAGCAUCAACAAAAUCAACAGUAGCAGCAACUUUUUGGAACUGUGCCUAAUGUGUCAAACAUGCAGUGGAUGCAUAUGCAACAAACAAAAGCUCAGCAACCACAUGCUCAGCAGCCACCAAUGGGUUUGAUGCAACCUCAGUUUCAACACAAUCAACUUCAACAAUUGCAACAUCUUAUGCCACAGUUCCAGUCUCAGCCUAACCAACUACAAGAGCAAUUAAGGAUGCAGCAGCAAUCCUCCAUGCAGCAAAGACUUCAAACUUCAGGAGCCAUGCUCUUGCAACAAAAUAACAUGGAUUAGCAAAACCAGUUUAUUCAGGCACAGAGGGGCCUUCAAGAAGUUUCCUCUAGUACAUCUGCGGACUCUACUGCUCAAACAGGCUAUGCAAGUACAGGUGAUUGGCAAGAGGAGAUACAUCAAAUGAUUAAGAGGUUAAAGGACCAAUACUUUGCAGAACUCAGUGAAUUAUUCAAUAAGAUGUGUGUGAAACUACAGCAUGUUGACAGCAUUAUUCCACCUCAAAUAUCAUCUGAGCAGUAUGAUAGAAUGAAGAGCUUUAAAACAAUGUUGGAGCGCAUAUUACAAAUGCUGCAAAUUGGUAAAAGUAGUGUCCAACCUGCUAUGAGGGACAAAGUUCCUCGAUAUGAGAAACAGAUUAUCAGUAUCUUGAACUCACAAAGGAAGCCAGUGCAGCCACAAAUACAACAACAAUUCCAGCCACCUCCAGGUCAAGCUCCUAAUUCUAGCAUUUCACAGCAGCUACAACCUUCCCAAAAUUUGCAGUAGCAUGAUAGUCAUACUAAUACUCAAAAUUUGUUAAGUAUGAGCACCAGAUUACAGUUCUCUAGUGUAGCUGGUAUCCAGCAUGUACCUGUGCCUCGAACAAUCCUUCUGUAGUUUAAACUAGCUUAUCACACUACUGCAGCAAUGCCUACCAGUGGUGGUUGCAAUAAGGCUACCAGUGGUGGGUAGGGCACCUCGCCACGGUAUCCUGACACUGGUAAUAUGUUACCUGUGGCGGGCGUCAUUUCACCCAUGGUUGGCAACCUAUUACCAGUGAGGGCUGGCCUAUUCACCCUUGUAUGUGGCACAUUAGUGGCGGCACGUUCUCCCACCCACCACCGGUAACCUCCCCCUAGGUGAAAAAUGAACGCUGCCACGGCAACGUAAAUCACUACCAUGUCAGAUUUUUUUGCUGUCGUGGCAGCGUUUUUGCACACAUUACAUUAUAUAUGCAUCGCAUUACAUAGAUAAAUUGAUUUAUCACAUUAUACAUGCAUCCAACUACCUAGGAACUAUACUAGAACUAAUUAGAAGUAGGAACUAGGAACUACAUCUUGUAACUAUACUGGGAGCUAUAUACUAGAACUAAUCAGAAUUGCAUAACUAAGAACUAUAUCUUUUAACUAUACUAGAACUAAUUAAUGAGUUGAAUUUAAGAUUUGCGUCAUGAGAAUCAAAUCCCUAGGCCUCGAGAUUGAAUUUCUGAUCAACAGGGAGAAGAGGGAGAGAGCUUACUAUGGUGGCUGAGGCUGAGGCACCCGAUGGCCGAGUUGGGCAGGACCGGGCGGCGGUGAGGGUGGUCCGGGCACGCGUGACUGGCGAGGGUGGCAACCGUGCAAGCAAGGCGAGGGUGAUGGGCAGCUAGGGAUUUGGGCAAAGGAAGAAGGGGAAUUUGGCCAGGUCCCUGUGUGGCCUAGGGUUAAAUGGAAUGAACUUACCGGAGGUGUUGUGGGGGUUGAUUUAAUCAUAAAGUAAUUAAGUGGAAUGAACUUACCGGUGGUUGAAGGGUCUAACAGUUUGGGUAAUAGUAGUUCGGGUAAUAGUAGACAGGACCAGCCAAUGGUUGUUUUCUAAGGCCCACAACAGAUAUUGUUUUUGCAAUUUCCCAUACAAUAUCAUAAAACCAUAAAACGCUAAAACCCAAAAUACCCUAAACCUCUAAAAAUGACAAUAAAUACCUAAAAAUGUACCAGUGGUGGGUGGCAAGAGAGCCUGCAAUUGAUUUGUAAAGUAUC